GACGAACGCUGGCGGCGUGCUUAACACAUGCAAGUCGAACGAUGAAGCCUAGCUUGCUAGGUGGAUUAGUGGCGAACGGGUGAGUAAUACGUGAGUGACCUACCUUUGACUCUGGGAUAAGCCUGGGAAACUGGGUCUAAUACCGGAUACGACCAAUCUCCGCAUGGGGUGUUGGUGGAAAGCGUUAUGGAGUGGUUUUAGAUGGGCUCACGGCCUAUCAGCUUGUUGGUGAGGUAAUGGCUUACCAAGGCGACGACGGGUAGCCGGCCUGAGAGGGUGACCGGCCACACUGGGACUGAGACACGGCCCAGACUCCUACGGGAGGCAGCAGUGGGGAAUAUUGCACAAUGGGCGCAAGCCUGAUGCAGCGACGCCGCGUGAGGGAUGACGGCCUUCGGGUUGUAAACCUCUGUUAGCAUCGAAGAAGCGAAAGUGACGGUAGGGCAG
rnacentral:rRNA from 1 species